rnacentral:lncRNA from 1 species
AUACCAAGUCCAAAUCGAUUCUUAGAAACAUCCUUUGGAUUAUUUCCGUUAGUAUGAUAUGCAUUUUGAACAUCUUGGCAUCGCCAUUCUUUUUUCAGGUUCUGACAAGCACAACGAACAGUAACCUUCAAACAUAGUAACAUACAUGAACAUUUGUUAGCAACUAUAAAAAAACAUAGAAAAAAAAACAGGACAGAUCAUGUGAUUAAAUUGAAACAGGAUGUAUUACCUAUUAGAAUAAAAUGCAUUACCUUUUUAUUACAAGUAUCAAUUGAUGGGCAUUGACCAGGAUGGCAUAUCUCUGGGCAAAGAUGAGGACAAUUCAGCAACUUUCUGAAGUUUACAAAGCACAAGAAAUUCAUAAGUAAUGUAAUAAUAAAAGUGGGACCGAAAUGAUAUGAUACAAUAUAAAAAUAGAUAAAGGAACCAAGAAAAUUAUGUCAUCCUGUUAAAGCAUAUAUAAUCAUGAUAUAAAUAUAUAAUGUGUGUGAAUGUUGUUGAUUAUAUGUUAUCUUAUUUCCAGGUGUACAAGUCAAUGAUACGGACGCUUCAUGGCCAGUUCUUAAUCGAUACAUUAGCUUUAUAGUUAGUGGGCUGAGUCCAGUAAGAGCUUGUAACAUUUAGUAUAUAAAUUAAAUCCUGGAAAUAAUAAAUCAAUCGAAUCAUUUGAGGAUUUUUCCGCGAUUUCCUUUCUCUUUUCGAUGUUCACCAUCGACUGUCUCAAUCGCUGGUCGGAAUCUUAUCUGUGACAUGAC